AAACUAGGGUGGGGUCAUUAAAAAAUCUUCUCAAGAACCACUGGGCCACAAAAGCUGAAACUUCUGUGGAAGCAUCCUGGGGUAGUGUAGAUUUUAAAUUGUUCAAAUCAUGACCCCCAGCGGUUGGGCGGGGCCACAAUGAGGAAUCAAAUUUUUACAUAGAAAUAUAUAGAAAAAAUCUUUGAAAAUCCUCUGCUCAAGAACCACUGGGCCAGAAAAGCUGAAACUUGUGUGGAAGCAUCCUGGGGUAGUGUAGAUUCUAAAUUGUUCAAAUCAUGACCACCGGGGGUAGGGCGGGGCCACAAUGGGGAAUCAAAGUUUUACAUAGAAAUAUAUAGGAAAAAUCUUUGAAAAUCUUCUUCUUAAGAACCACUGGGCCAGAAAAGCUGAAACUUAUGUGGAAGCAUCCUGGGGUAGUGUAGAUUUCAAAUUGUCUAAAUUUUGAUCAGUGGGGUAGGGUGGGGUCACAAUAUGUGUUACAAGGGGGAAAUCUGGUAAAGAACAGAAUGGUCAAAGCUUCUCAGGUGAGCGAUGUGGCCCAUGGGCCUCUUGUUUGUAAAAUUUCACAUUUUCAUCUUUGGUCAAAUUCAACGAAACUUGGCAAAGAGUAGCCUUGGAUAAAUGCCAUUAUGGGAUUUAAGUUUAUUCAAAUGAAGGCCCACUCCCUCUUCAAAUGGAAGAUUACUACAAAUUAGAGAAAAAUUAAGGACAUCUUUUAAAAAUCUUCUUUUCAAGAACCACUGAGACAGGAAAGAGACACUUAUGUGGCAUCAUCCUCAGAGGAAUACUUUUAAGGCUGAACAGGAUCCUGAAGUGAGGAGGACUUCCUCUCUCAUUGAACUGCAUACAGCAGCAGAAAGCAGGAUUUCAGUUCCCUUUGAUUCAGAAGAGGAACAACAAUGGAGGACCAAGGUCAUUAAUAUAAGAAGAGUCUAUUCCUGUCUGUGUUUUGCAGCAGAAGAAAGUUAAGACUGACCAGGAAUUCUAAGUGAGGAAGAGUCCCUUUCCCAUUCCGCUGCAGCCAUGAGGAGAAG